UAGAAUCUAUCAUUUAUGUUUGUUUCUAUUUUGCUAUAUUUUUGAAACAGAAAAAUCUUUGAGAUGACUUAAAUGUCUGUGAUAGAUUUUAUUGCCAACAAAUAUCCAUUAUUAUUUCUAUUUUAUUGAAGUUUGUAGAAUCUACAAUAUUGUUGUGUCACUGGCGCCAUUUUGUAUUUGUGAAGCAAACAAACAUUUGUUUUUGUUUUUCUAAGCGUGAGAAUCUCUAAAAGAAAAGUGCAUAAUAUACAUGAUGAUUAUUUUAAUUAAUCAGGAAGCUGCCGUUUUCAUCGUACUGCUGUUAAUGAAGGUUUUUUUCUUGGAAAAAAAUCGUAUUUACGACAAAAAAUUGCACGAAGGAAGUAGAAGAAUUUCUACAUUUGGUGCGAUUUGUAAAAUUUAAGCAGCGACAAUGAUUCAUUCAAAGGAACAGCACCACAUUACGAAAUCCUUGACGAAAUCAAUAUUUACCGUCAGUGUACCAGUAGCCGCUUGUGUUCCAAUAGCCAAUAGCAGCAUUUAGGAAAAUAAUUCUAAUUUAAAUUCUGUAGAUUAACUUUUGCUGGUUUUUUUAUACGAUGAACAUAAUAUCAGAGGAAGGUUCUGUGCUAUGUAGUUAGAGGUGUAGACAAUAGAAGGUAUAUUGAUGAGAAGUUAUUAACUAUUCGAAUUUCUCUGCUUGUCCCAUAGAAUGUCUACUAAAAUGCUACAAAAAUGAUCUAGCACGCCGUAAAAUUCGUCACCCAUGAUUUGGCGCCUACAUCAGUGGUCUAACAACUCUUCGCGCGUUCGGCACUGGUUCCAAUAUACCGCUUAAAGAGUUGCCACAUAUGAUGUUAGGUAAGCUAAGGUCGGUAAGCUGACCGAUGGGGCACGGGAGCUAUUGCUAUGAUCAAAAUGUACGCGUUAUAUAGACAUAUUCUAGACGGGCUAUCAGGAGAAAAACGAGUAUUUAAGAAUAUAACACCAAUCUAUCAUGUCGGAAGUAAGGUACUGUGCUAUGUAGUUAGAGGUGUAGACAACAACAAGUGUAUUGAUAAGACGUUAGGUAUUAUUAAUUAUUCGAUUCUCUCUACUUGUCUCAUAGAAUAUCUGAAAUGCUACAAAAUUGAUCUAGCACGCCGUAAAAUUCGUCACCCAUGAUUUGGCGCCUUUAUCAGUGGUCUAACAACUCUUCGCGCGUUCGGCACUGGUUCCAAUAUACCGCUUAAAGAGUUGCCACAUAUGAUGUUAGGUAAGCUAAGGUCAGUAAGCUGACUGAUGGGGCACGGGAGCUAUUGCUAUGAUCAAAAUGUACGCGUUAUAUAGACAUAUUCUAGACGGGCUAUCAGGAGGGAAACGAAUAUUUAAGAAUAUAGCGUUAAUCAAUCAUGUCGGAAGUAAGGCAAUAAUGUGUUAAUUAUGUAGUUUGAGGUGUAAACAUUUUUUUUUCUGCGAACAUCAAAAACACGUUUGAAUCCAGGGGGAGCGACAC